rnacentral:rRNA from 1 species
UACGUAGGGGGCGAGCGUUGUCCGGAAUUACUGGGCGUAAAGGGCGUGUAGGCGGCCUGUUAAGUCAGGCGUGAAAACCCCGGGCUUAACCUGGGGAUUGCGUUUGAAACUGGCGGGCUUGAGGGCAGGAGAGGAAAGUGGAAUUCCCGGUGUAGCGGUGAUAUGCGUAGAUACCGGGAGGAACACCAGUGGCGAAGGCGGCUUUCUGGACUGCACCUGACGCUGAGGCGCGAAAGCCAGGGGAGCGAACGGGAUUAGAAACCCCCGUAGUCC